rnacentral:rRNA from 1 species
UCUUAAAGCUGUUCUCAGUUCGGACUGCAGUCUGCAACUCGACUGCACGAAGCUGGAAUCGCUAGUAAUCGCGGAUCAGCAUGCCGCGGUGAAAUACGUUCCCGGGCCUUGUACACACCGCCGUCACACCAUGAGAGUCGGGAACACCCGAAGUCCGUAGCCUAACCGCAAGGAGGGCGCGGCCGAAGGUGGGUUCGAUAAUUGGGGUGAAGUCGUAACAAGGUAAC